rnacentral:lncRNA from 1 species
UGCCACGCAUGCCUCCUGGAUCACCUCUUGGUGUCCCAUGGCCCCUGUGGGGCUCCUACCUGGCACAUCCUCACCUCCAGGCUCCCCCGGCUCCAACUCAGCAGGGAGGUGGGAGGUUGACGGGAGCAGGCAGGCAUGGGAGGGCUCAGCCGGGGUAUGAGGGGUGGGCAGAGUCCCCCCACCUGGCUCACCCUUUCUCUUCCUCUCCUCCUCUGGGCACCUUCUUUGACUCCCACAGGCUCCUAGCUCAGACCUCUCCACUCUUCCUGGCUUUCCUUCAGGGAGGUCAGGAAAGUCAGGGACCCGUGGAUAAAGACCAGGAGAACACAAUGUAAGUAUCUGGGCAAAGAACCUCUUAGGCAGAGGGCUUGGCGAGUGCAGAGCCCCAGGGACCUGUGCAGGGCCUGAUCAAGACCCUUGGAGGAGUCCAGGGGUGGCUAGAGUGCAGCAAGCAGGGGAGGGACUGGAGUAGCCAUAGAAGGGACCAGGACAGACUGAGCCCCAAACGUCCCCCUUGCCUGGCCCAGCCCAUGUGUUUCCGGUAUUGGUGGGUUCUUGGUCUCACUGACUUCAAGAAUGAAGCUGUGGACCCUGGCAAUGAGUGUUACAGCUCUUAAAGGCAGCGUGUCCGGAGUUUGUUCCUUCUGAUGUUCAGAUGUGUUCGGAGUUUUUUCCUUCUGGUGGGGUUCGUGGUCUCACUGGCUCAGGAGUGAAGCUGCGGACCUUCGCGGUGAGUGUCACAACUCUUAAGGUGGUGCGUCUGGAGUUGUUCGUUCCUCCCGGUGGGUUCGCGGUCUCACUGGCUUCAAGAGUGAAGCUGCAGACCUUCAACAAAUGAGUGUUACAGCUCGUAAACACGGUGUGGACCCAAAGACUAAAAGAACAAAGCUUCCACAAUGUGGUAAGGGUACCCCAGCGGGUUGCCGCUCCUGGCUCGGGCAGCCUUCUUUUAUUCUCUUAUCUGACCCCACCCACAUCCUGCUGAUUGGUAGAGCCGAGUGGUCUGUUUUCACAGGGUGCUGAUUGGUGUGUUUACAAUCCCUGAGCUAGACACAAAGGUUCUUCACGUCCCCGCCAGAUUAGCUAGAUACAUUGUCGAUUGGUGCAUUCACAAACCCUGAGCUAGACACAGGGUGCUGAUUGGUGUGUUUACGAACCUUGAGCUAGAUACAGAGUACCGAUUGGUGAAUUUACAAUCCCUUAGCUAGACAUAAAGGUUCUCCACGUCCCCACCAGACUCAGGAGCCCAGCUGGCUUCACCCAGUGAAUGUGGAGCUGCCUGCCAGUCCCGCACCGUGCACCCGCACUCCUCAGCCCUUGGGUGGUUGAUGGGACUAGGCGCCGUGGAGCGGGGGCGGCGCUCGUCAGGGAGGCUCGGGCUGCACAGGAGCCCACGGAGGAGCGGGGGAGGCUCAGGCAUGGCGGGCUGCAGGUUCCGAGCCCCGCCCCGCGGGAAUGCAGCUAAGGCCCGGCGAGAAAUUGAGCACAGCAGCUGCUGGCCCAGGUGCUAAGCCCCUCACUGCCUGUGGCCGGUGGGGCCGGCUGGCUGCUCCGAGUGCAGGGUCCGCCGAGCCCACGAACCCCACCAGAAGGAAGAAACUCUGAACACGUCCGAACAUCAGAAGGAACAAACUCCAGACACACCGCCUUUAAGAACUGUAACACCGCGAGGGUCCGCGGCUUCAUUCCUGAAGUCAGUGAGAUCAAGAACCCACCAAUUCCGGACACACAUGGGGAUGCUAGGCCAAAACCCGAGCAGAAAAGCGUAGGCGAGCAGCUGGCAGCCACCAUCGCAUUUGCUCCCGGAAGGCAAGAGGAGGCAGAGAAAAUUCCAGAACCCAUUUAAGCGUCUGGGACCCUGAGCCUGAGAAGCCAGCCGGGAUGACCAGACAUCUGAG